GCUGGCGGCAUGCCUAACACAUGCAAGUCGAACGCUUUUGGGGCUUCGGCCUCAAGGGAGUGGCGCACGGGUGAGUAGCGCGUGGGAACCUGCCCUGUUGUGGGGGAUAACCGAGGGAAACUUCGGCUAAUACCGCAUACGCCGGGAAACCGGGAAAGAUUUAUCGCAGCAGGAGGGGCCCGCGUCGGAUUAGCUAGUUGGCGGGGUAACGGCCCACCAAGGCUCCGAUCCGUAGCUGGUCUGAGAGGAUGAUCAGCCACACUGGGACUGAGACACGGCCCAGACUCCUACGGGAGGCAGCAGUGGGGAAUAUUGGACAAUGGGCGCAAGCCUGAUCCAGCAAUGCCGCGUGAGUGAUGAAGGCCUUAGGGUUGUAAAGCUCUUUCGCCCGCGACGAUGAUGACGGUAGCGGGAGAAGAAGCCCCGGCUAACUUCGUGCCAGCAGCCGCGGUAAUACGAAGGGGGCGAGCGUUGUUCGGAUUUACUGGGCGUAAAGGGCGCGUAGGCGGCCCUCCUUGUCGCGUGUGAAAGCCCCGGGCUCAACCUGGGAAUUGCGCGCGAAACGGGGGGGCUUGAGUUCGGGAGAGGAGCGUGGAAUUCCCAGUGUAGAGGUGAAAUUCGUAGAUAUUGG
rnacentral:rRNA from 1 species